rnacentral:lncRNA from 1 species
GCGUGUCUAACCCAAAAUAACAUAUACCUCAUCUUUCACACAGCCACGUGUUGGUGUCCGUAACGUGACUCAUGCACGAUAAUGUCGGAAUAGGAUGACUUGAACUCAAUAAAGAGAAGAUGUAUUAUAGUAAAGUUGGAGUGUCCACAAACGUUUUCAUGUCAUAUCUUAUUGAGCAGAGAAAACUGAUGGAAACAUUGCUUGAAAAGGGUGUCUAACUUCAUG